rnacentral:rRNA from 1 species
UACGUAGGCAGCAAGCGUUGUUCGGAGUUACUGGGCGUAAAGGGUGCGUAGGCGGCCGUGUAAGUGUGGUGUGAAAUCUCCCGGCUUAACUGGGAGGGUGCGCUACAGACUGCAUGGCUAGAGUGUGGGAGAGGAAAGUGGAAUUCCGGGUGUAGCGGUGGAAUGCGUAGAGAUCCGGAAGAACACCGGUGGCGAAGGCGGCCUGCUGGGCUAUGGGCUGACACUGAGGCGCGGACAGCGUGGGGAGCAAACGGG